rnacentral:rRNA from 1 species
GGAUGAACGCUAGCGGCAGGCCUAACACAUGCAAGUCGAGGGAGAGGUUAUCUUUCGGGUAACCAAAACCGGCGCACGGGUGCGUAACGCGUAUACAAUCUGCCUUUCACAUAGGGAUAGCCCGAAGAAAUUUGGAUUAAUACCUAAUGGUAUAUAGGAGCGGCAUCGUUUUUAUAUUAAAGCUACGGUGGUGAAAGAUGAGUAUGCGUUCUAUUAGCUAGUUGGAGAGGUAACGGCUCCCCAAGGCGACGAUAGAUAGGGGUUCUGAGAGGGAUGUCCCCCACACUGGUACUGAGAUACGGACCAGACUCCUACGGGAGGCAGCAGUGAGGAAUAUUGGACAAUGGUCGGAAGACUGAUCCAGCCAUGCCGCGUGCAGGAUGAAGGUCCUAUGGAUUGUAAACUGCUUUUGUAAGGGAAGAAUAAGGAGUACGUGUACUUUGAUGACGGUACCUUACGAAUAAGCAUCGGCUAACUCCGUGCCAGCAGCCGCGGUAAUACGGAGGAUGCGAGCGUUAUCCGGAAUCAUUGGGUUUAAAGGGUCCGUAGGCGGGCUGAUAAGUCAGAGGUGAAAGCGCUUAGCUCAACUAAGCAACUGCCUUUGAAACUGUCAGUCUUGAAUGAUUGUGAAGUAGUUGGAAUGUGUAGUGUAGCGGUGAAAUGCUUAGAUAUUACACAGAACACCGAUAGCGAAGGCAUAUUACUAACAAUUUAUUGACGCUGAUGGACGAAAGCGUGGGGAGCGAACAGG